AGAGCUAACAACUAGCAUACUGGUCAAAUCCAGAAUUAUGCAGUGACAAGACACUGUUGAAUGCAAUGAAGCUGACCUCAGUGUACACAGAAACAGGACGUGAAUGAUUGGUAAUAACACAGAAUGCUCACAUACUCACAGAGCUUGCUGGUACCAUCAUGCAUUCAUUCACAGCCACCCAACUGAAGAAGUGGAGAAGGCUGCUGGCCUGUUAUUGUUUACAACUGUGCUGCCCUUCUGCCUAAUGGACACCCUGGGGGAAUGUUGUUGGCUUUGAGACACAGCUACAUAUUUUCAAUAAACAACUCCUGAAGCCAGUGAAUGCUAACA
rnacentral:lncRNA from 1 species